CUAUCACUUGAUCUUUGGGAGUGAGGGCAUGGGUGCUAAGGUCCAUGUCCGAAAGAGGAACAACUCAGACCACCAGCUAAGGUCCCGAAAUAAGGGCUAAGUUGAAUAAACGAAGUAAAACUGCAAAGACAGCUAGGAUGUUGGCUUGGAAGCAGCCAUUCAUUUAAAGAGUGCGUAACAGCUCACUAGUCGAGGAGUUUUGCAUGGAUAAUAAUCGGGCAUAAGCCCUUUACCGAAGCUGUGGAUGUCGUAAGACAUGGUAGGGGAGCAUUCCGGCGGCGACGAAGGCCGUCCUCGAGGACGACUGGAGCUUUCGGAAAAGCAAAUGUAGGUAUAAGUAACGAUAAAGGGGGCGCGAAACCCCCUCGCCAUAAGACUAAGGAUUCCUGAUCAACGCUAAUCGGAUCAGGGUAAGUCGGGCCCUAAGGCGCAGCCGAACGGCGUAGCCGAUGGAAGAAACGGUAAAGAUUCCGUUACUGGAUAUAGGAGCGAUGUGGAGACGGAGAAGUGACACACCCGCCUGCCGACGGAAGCGCAGGUUAAAGGAAGUAGGUAAACGCCGGGUAGGCAAAUCCGCCUGGCGUGCCGAAACUGACAGUAUCGAGAGCCCCCGGGCAAUCGAAUAGCGGUGGUAAUCAGGCUCCCAAGAAAAUCCGCUAAGCAUAUUCUAUAUCCACCCGUACCCCAAACGGACACACGUAGUCGGGUAGAAUAUACCAAGGCGCUCGAAAGACUCACGGUUAAGGAACUAGGCAAAUUGACCCUGUAACCUCGGGAAAAAGGGUCCCCAGUAAGAUGGGGCGCAGAGAAUAGGUCCAGGCAACUGUUUAACAAAAACACAGGGCUGUGCAAAAUUUCAAGAUGAAGUAUACAGCCUGACACCUGCCCGGUGCCGGAAGGUUAAGAGGAGAGCUUAUCGCAAGAGAAGGCUUGAAUUGAAGCCCCGGUAAACGGCGGCCGUAACUAUAACGGUCCUAAGGUAGCGAAAUUCCUUGUCGGGUAAGUUCCGACCUGCACGAAUGGUGUAAUGAUCUGGACACUGUCUCAACCGUGACUUCGGUGAAAUUGUAGUAUCGGUGAAGAUGCCGAUUACCCGCAACGGGACGAAAAGACCCCGUGAACCUUUACUGCAACUUAGCAUUGCGUUUGGGCAUUUGAUGUGUAGGAUAGUCCGGAGGCUACGAGUCGGCGACGCCAGUCGUCGAGGAGCCGCUGUUGAAAUACGGACCUUCGAAUGUUUGAGCGCUAACUCGCAGGAGCGAGGACACUGUUUGGUGGGUAGUUUGACUGGGGUGGUCGCCUCCAAAAGCGUAACGGAGGCUUCUAAAGGUACCCUCAGACCGAUUGGUAACCGGUCGGAGAGUGUAAUGGCACAAGGGUGCUUGACUGAGAGACCCACAAGUCGAUCAGGUAGGAAACUAGAGCAUAGUGAUCCGG
rnacentral:rRNA from 1 species